ACGCUCCUCUCGAUCCGCUCGACGCACUCCUCUCGAUCCACCCCUCCCGCUGGGGCCUUUCUCUCUUUCCCUCCUUCCCCGCUCCACCGCCACCGGCCCAUCUCCCGCCCCGUCGCCGCCGCCCCAUCUCCCACCCCGCCGCCGCCGCCCCAUAUCCCGCUCUGCCACCGCCCCUACUGCUCCACCGAACCGACCUCUUCUUCGAGCAUGAGCCGCUCCUCUCCCUGACACCCUCGUACUCACUAGGGUUUCGUGCGCCGCCGCCGCCGCCGGUCCUCUCCAACACUGCGACGGGCUUCACGGCCUACUUCGACCUCGGGCCUUAAUGCUUUCUCUGCUUCUGUGUCGACCUUCUAUUCAGCGAGGAGGACGUACAUCAGGCAGCGGGUGACGCGCGGUGGCUGCGCAAAUUCCUCUGCGGCGGAGAUCUCCAGGAUGGGUGCUUGUCUUCUCAGAAGAAGGAGAUGAUGAAGGAUGCAGAGAAGGAAGGCAACGUGGAAGGCAACGUGGUGUGUUCUUGAUGAUGAUCGAAGAAGAUCUGCUGGCUGCUGUUCAAGGGACGAUAGCCAAAGAAGAAGAAGAUGAUUGCUAUGUUCUGAGAAAUCAAGAUUCUGGAAGACCACGAAGAGGAAUAAGACAAGCAGGCACAUGUGUACCGUCACGAGCAGCAAAACGAAGAGUAAACCCAAGAAUAUCAAGGGGGGAUUAUGUUGGCUGCCGUGGAGGACGAGAUGCAAGGGUGCUCCGGCAGCGGCUGCAGCAGCGUGACAGAUCAAGCGAGCUAGGUUGUGCCAUCUCUGGUCCUCUCUCUUCAAAUGGUCGACACCGGGUGCUUACGAUCGACGUGACGGCGGCGGUGCAAGAGCAUGGCAUAGCUGGUCUGAGAGUGGCGAUGGACUCACUGCCCGCUGCUACUAUAUCAUCCAAAGUAGUGGCAGGGCGCAGCGGCACGAACGGCUCAGCCUCUGCCUUGUUCAUCCCAUUACAACGGAGGCGCUUUAAUUACUGACACAUAUGUUCUUAUUAUGCAACUGCAGGUGAUUUCUCAUCUUUCAACUCGGUCUAUUUUACUUGUCAUACAUGGAGAGAGUUUAUACAAUGUUAGAUGAAGAGUUGGCGGUGCCACGGUGCCAAGGUUUGCUUCUCAAAACUGAUAAGAUCACAUGAUGCUUUUAUAUGCUUAUUAUUAAAUCACAGGCAAAUAACCCACUUCAACCUGCGUGAUAAUUAUGUAGUGAACAGAGCUUUUGUGUGAAUAAACUACCCAACUUUGUCAAGUGACUUAAUGGAGCAAGUCUUUAAUUUGUAACUAGCUGUUGUUCAGAAUUGAACUAGCGCUUCAUACAGAACAAUUUUGAGAGCAACUCCCCACAAAAAAAUACAUCAACUAUAAUUGUUGGAAUCCUGAAGGUAGUUCCAUCGAAGUUUGUGAGUAUAUUUGCAAACCUCUGUCUACCUAUGAAUACUAUUAUCGAGAUAGUUUAAACCAUGUUGUUGGCCUGCUACAAUGCUCAAUGGUUUACCCUUGCUCAGAUCAAUUCUGGUGUGUUUGUAAUGGGAAUGUGGGAUGAUGUAUGAAGAGAUAAAGAAAGUUAUGCUCGCGGAAUAUGAGUAUGUAGUAACAGUUCUCUGUUAUGGUUCGCGACAAUUGUUCUGGUACAUCUCAUUGGUAGUUUAUAUGUAAUGCAAUGCCGUUUUAUAAUUAUCAUGCUAAAAAGUAAUGUUACAUUAGACAUUUCAACAUAAAUGAGUUGGACAACUGAGCCCACAAUAUAUAACUAUGUAUAUUGGGACACAACGUUUUGCCUCUGUGUCCAGAUGAGCCGGUCAUUCAUCAGUUGGAAUCCGCGCCAAAGAGUUUCAGUGGUGUUGAUGUUCGCCAGUAGUCCAGUACAUCGAGUAUAGAACAACCAUGUAUGCUGCAGGUGGUUACGGCGUACAGCGGAUCUGACAGAACUAUUUUGAAUCUCGGUGGCUCUGUAUCAGGGUCUUCCUGUACUGAUGGUUGAAAGAUUUCCAUGUGGUAUGUGAUAUGGUACAGAUUUUUCGUUUCCUCGUAACUGUGAUCAGAUAAUCAUGGAUGACGAAAGGCAAACAGAUUCCUUGCCUUCCAAUUUAUCAGUCUUCAGUUACGCUCACGUACCGAGUGAAUAGAUUGCAAUGUUCUGUACUUCUUAUUUCUAAUUGAUUUCAUUCUCUAAUGGUUGCAUUAACUUGCCAAACAUUUCAUCUGUCGGAUGCAUGGGAGGGGAUAUGCAUCCGUCUAUGGUGGCAGUGGAACAGUCCUCACUGUAAGUGAUCUUAGAUAGGGAUGAGGUUAGCAACGAGGGCGAAAGAUGAUGAGGCUCCAGAAUCUAGAGAGUUGUUGUGAAAGCUGAUCCACAAGCACCAGGGUUUGUUAUAAAAGGAAAACUCUCUCGACCCGGAUGGAAAUAAUAUUCCUGAAUUGCCUGAGAUGGUUAGUGAUAGUGAAAGUUAUGAUGACAGAUAAUUACUCCUCCAAGAAGAAGAAUCAGAAGAGGAGCGAUUCAGGCAUCGAUUGACCUGGACUCCGAUUUUGACCUGGUCGUCCGCUUUGUGCCAGCUGGCUAUUUGUGGGCCUUUUUCGUCAGUGGUAAGGUGACAUGGGCCGCGUUUGUCAGUGGCUGAGGAAAGGCGGUUCGAGCCUGACGUGGUCGUCGAUGAGGAGCUUUUGGAUGUCACCGGCGCCGGCAAUCCUCGAGGGCAAAGGCUGCGACAAGCGGCGGCGGCGGAGCUUGGGCAGCAACAAUCCGAGCAUGAUGAGGUCGAAGGCGUCGUAGUGGUGCAUUGGAGCUGGAGGAGGCGGCGGGCCAGUGCUGUUUGUGCUCAAGACGUACGAGAUGGUGGACAGCCCAUCGACGGAAGCAGCGGUCUGGUGGAGUGACGCGUUGGACACGACCUUCAUGGUUUGGUGCUCGCUGGAGUUUGCAUCUUCAAGCACAUAAAUUUCUCCAGUUUCAUCCAUGAGCUCCCCCCACCCCCUCUCUUACUGAAUCCCUACGCACCCCAAGCAAUCUCGGUCAAGUUUGUGCGGAUUUGGGGUUUAAGAUCUGUGCAUGUGCGGGGAAUUUAUUAGUAGGAGUUGGUCUGGGUUUUAUUUGUCAGAUUUACUGGAGAAUUUGGCAUUAGAUUUUGAUCUUGGGUGGGGGCGAGGGUCCUCAAAUGUCUACACUGUUGUGGUGAAAUGCUACUCCAUUUUUACUAAAAAUCAUUUAGGAUGCUGAUUUUCUUAGUUGGUCUUGAUUGCAGUUAAAUGCCAAAAAUCAGGACUCGGUAUGGUGCCAAAAUAUGUUCAUAAUUUUGUGCGCUGGGCUGGUGGGAUGCUAUGUGAAUCACUACAUUCUUACUCCUUUGGUUCGCCGGGGGUUCGGAUUGCAUUGACCACAUUCAGAUUUUUCCUAGAGAUUCAGGCUGGCAACCAAAGAUGUCCAGCCUUGAUGGCUUGUGAUAUAUUAUCAUGUUUAGGAUAGACGAAAAUGAGAUUGCAAAGGAACGAAGAGCUCAAGAUUUUGUUUUGUUCAUGAAGAUGCAUAAUCAAGAGGAACCACAAGGAUUCCUAAGAACAGAGGUGCAGCAACAUCACUUAACCUUUUCAUGUUACUCUAGAUGAUUUAUCAUCCUUGCUUGCCCCUCCCGACAAGGAUUCAUAUCAAGAGUUCAAUACUUGUUGGGGGUUCCUCGCAAUGCACGCACAGAGAGGCAUAACUUCUUUGCUUCCCCCACCAUCUCUGCAAUAAUAUGGCGUGCAUGUGCAAAAAGAAGGAUCUGAUGGUCUACUAAGGGCUUAUAGGAAUGAAGAGCGGCUUAUCUUCUUUACGUGUUUAUCUGGUAAAUAUUCAUCUGUCAGGCAAUACAAAUCGUAUGGUUACAAGUUCAACAACAACAUGGGGAGCGCUGGCGUGGUAGUCCGGCGGUAGAGGGAUGGCUGGGCAGCAGCCUACCGAGGAGUUGGAGGGAGGGCUUGAUUGGACCACAUCUGUCCACGAGGGCUCGUUGGUGGGCUAAUCAAGAAGGGGGGAGGGGCUGGGUGUAUCUGUGUUGCGCGGUUCCGGCUGGUGUGCUCCUCGGCGGCGUCCUGGACAGGUGGAUGUGUGGGCGGCUGCGUGUGUGUGUGUGCUUCGGCGGUGCGUGGUGAGGUAGCGGGGUGGCCAGCGCGGUGCCCUGGUGAGCAGGUGGUUAGAUCCGGACGGAUUUGGCCAUGGUGGCUCGACGUUGGACUUGCUGGUGCAUGUAUGGUUUAUAAUCUGUCCGGACGGAAGAUUGUAGUUUGUGUAUAGUUUAUAAUCUGAGGAAAUGUUUGCCGUCUGUGUUAACCUUCAGUCUUGUACUGCUGAAGAUUGUAGUUUGUGUUGUAUCAUAUGUGGACAUGUUCUUUACUUCAAUCUAGACUUACGUGCCUUUGUGUUAA